rnacentral:rRNA from 1 species
AUUGAACGCUGGCGGCAUGCCUUACACAUGCAAGUCGAACGGUAACAGGUUAAGCUGACGAGUGGCGAACGGGUGAGUAAUAUAUCGGAACGUGCCCAAUCGUGGGGGAUAACGCAGCGAAAGUUGUGCUAAUACCGCAUAAGAUCUACGGAUGAAAGCGGGGGAUCGCAAGACCUCGCGCGAGUGGAGCGGCCGAUAUCAGAUUAGCUAGUUGGUGGGGUAAAGGCCCACCAAGGCGACGAUCUGUAGCUGGUCUGAGAGGACGACCAGCCACACUGGGACUGAGACACGGCCCAGACUCCUACGGGAGGGAGCAGUGGGGAAUUUUGGACAAUGGGCGCAAGCCUGAUUCAGCAAUGCCGCGUGCAGGAUGAAGGCCUUCGGGUUGUAAACUGCUUUUGUACGGAGCGAAAAAGCUCUCUCUAAUACAGAGGGCUCAUGACGGUACCGUAAGAAUAAGCACCGGCUAACUACGUGCCAGCCGCCGCAGUAA